rnacentral:rRNA from 1 species
CUUCGGNAACCCGUGCUGGCCANUGGACGAACGGGUGAGUAACGCGUGAGCAACCUACCCCAANGAGGGGGAUAACCCGGGGAAACCCGGGCUAAUACCCCAUAAGCGCACAUCCUGCAUGGGAUGUGUGAAUAGGGGGCCUCUGCAUUGCAAGCUCCCGCCUUGGGAUGGGCUCGCGUCCCAUCAGGUAGUUGGUGAGGUAACGGCUCACCAAGCCUACGACGGGUAGCUGGUCUGAGAGGAUGGCCAGCCACACCGGGACUGAGACACGGCCCGGACUCCUACGGGAGGCAGCAGUGGGGAAUAUUGGGCAAUGGCCGAAAGGCUGACCCAGCGACGCCGAGUGGAGGACGAAGCCCUUCGGGGUGUAAACUCCUGUCACCGGGGACGAUGCGGGAGUGGGUUAACAGCCCACUCUUGUGACGGUACCCGGAGAGGAAGGGACGGCUAACUACGUGCCAGCAGCCGCGGUAAUACGUAGGUCCCGAGCGUUGCGCGAAAUUACUGGGCGUAAAGAGCGCGUAGGCGGCUCAGUAAGUCAGAGGUGAAAGCCCCCGGCUCAACCGGGGAAUUGCCUCUGAUACUGCUGAGCUAGGGUCCGGAAGAGGCUGGCGGAAUUCCCGGUGUAGCGGUGAAAUGCGUAGAUAUCGGGAAGGAACACCGGUGGCGAAGGCGGCCAGCCAGGACGGUACUGACGCUGAGGCGCGAAAGCGUGGGGAGCGAACCGGAUUAGAUACCCGGGUAGUCCACGCUGUAAACGAUGGGUGCUGGGCGUUGGCC